rnacentral:rRNA from 1 species
UACGUAGGGGGCAAGCGUUGUCCGGAUUUAUUGGGCGUAAAGAGCGUGUAGGCGGCCAGGUAGGUCAGCUGUGAAAACUCGAGGCUUAACCUCGAGACGCCGGCUGAAACCCUCUGGCUAGAGUCCGGAAGAGGAGAGCGGAAUUCCUGGUGUAGCGGUGAAAUGCGCAGAUAUCAGGAAGAACACCCGUGGCGAAGGCGGCUCUCUGGGACGGUACUGACGCUGAGACGCGAAAGCGUGGGGAGUGAACAGG